UACAGAGGGUGCGAGCGUUGUCCGGAAUCACUGGGCGUAAAGGGCGCGUAGGCGGCUUGAUAAGCGUGCGGUGAAAGCCCGGGGCUCAACCCCGGGUCGGCCGUGCGAACUGUCGAGCUGGAGCACUGUAGAGGCAGGUGGAAUUCCGGGUGUAGCGGUGGAAUGCGUAGAGAUCCGGAAGAACACCGGUGGCGAAGGCGGCCUGCUGGGCAGUGGCUGACGCUGAGGCGCGACAGCGUGGGGAGCAAAUAGG
rnacentral:rRNA from 1 species